CAAGGCCACUUGGGCUGGAAUGUAGAAAGCAGCAGAGGCAGAAAUGUGAAAUAAGGCCAGGAAGGGAUACCAAGGCUUGUUGACUUGAUAACAACAAUAGAGAGGUUUGUUGACUUCCUGGUUGGUGCAUGUAUUCAAUACGAAACCAAGAACCUGUCAAGAUUGUGAAAAUGGAUGACAGCUGCCAACUUCUGGUGAUUCUCAUGGGAACAAAUGACACUUGUGGAAGGAACCUAAAACACAUUGCCAACAAUUAUGAAGUAUUGGUCAGGAAUUAGAAGACCAUGGAGACAUGAUUUGUGUUUUUCUUGCUGUUGUCAGCUGAAGACAAGGUAUUCAGAAGAGAAAAUUUAAUUUGGGAAGUGAACAGCUGGCUAAGAAGGCUGUUUUGAAAAUGGGAGCUGGAUUUCUGAACCAUAGCUUAAAAUGUAGGGAUGAUAGAUUACUGGCCUGAGAUGGAGUGCAUUUAACAAAGUCUAGUAAGAAUGUACUUCUCAGACUAUUUGUAAACCCAAUCAAAAGGGCUUUGAAUUAAAAAGGCUAGGGCAGGGACAAUAACCUUAAAUUAGAUCCCAUAGAGAAUGGGUAUAAAGAAAGAAGAAGAAUAGCAAACAAGACAACAGAAGUUCAAAGGAGAUGAAAUCCCCACACCCAUGAUCUUAAAUGUCUAUACCCAGAUUCUCAUAGUUUAGGUAACAAAAAAGAAGAAACCAGAGGUCCCAAUACAAGGAAGUAAAGUUGACUUUUUAGGUAUCACCAAGAUGAUGGGAUGAAACCUAUGACUGUGCCAUAGCUCUAGAUGGGUAUACAUUAUUCAAAAUAAGCAUGACAGGUAAAAGGGAAUAGGGGCAGUACUGUACAAUAAGAAAGUAUACCCACAUGAAGAAAUUCAGGAAUGAGAGUGGAGGAAAAUGAGAGAGAGAAAAGUUGUGAAGACCAACUGAAAGAAAUAAAAGUGACUUGUCACAGACCACCAGAAUAUAGACCACCUGGAUAGAAAGAGUAAACAGUCCAGUGACACCGACCUCCUGGCAGUUCCACGAACAAGACACUUCAUCUCUCAGCUCCUGGAAUGCUCUCUGGCUGAUGCCUGGAAUGUUCCUCCUCCUCCACUGCAUUUUUACAUCUGGGGUAACUACCACAAACUACGUGUGGCAAGUGGUCUACAACACACCCUCAGUUUGAAGAAGGAGGUCUUAAACAUCAUCAAUGGGGAAGAGACAGAGUCCCUGAGACACUAGUGGAAGAUCUCACCCUACUCCUCCCAGCCUACCCUUCUUAGAGGCAGGCAGACCACAGCCUGUCGAGGGAGGGGCAGCCAGUGCCUGCAGCUAGCUUUGUCUCCAACACCUCCCUUUCAAGAGAGAGCUUCAGCCAGCACCCCCUCCCUGAGGCCAGGGCUGAACGAUCCAGUUCACAGACACAGGUCUGUCCUGGGGCCGGCCCCUCUGCCAUUCUGCUUAUACACCAAGCCAGCAUCCCCCAGGCUCUGCUGUUACCACCUGCAGCCCUCCUCCACCCACUCUCCUCAGAGUGGUGUGAGCAAAGUUUCUGUGAAAAGCAGGGUCUCUACCGAAGUCUUCUGCUCCAGUGGAGAAAGAAAGAGCUUAAGGGGAAGGUAUGGAGGCCUUCGUGACCCAUCCCCCCUGGUUAGACUCUGAGAAGUCACCUUCCUUGGCAUCCUGCCAGCCCCCGCUAGCCUGAUGUAACCCUUCCACCCUCCUCCUCCUCCUCCUGAGGGGACAGAGACUGGGUCAUGUUGGGACCCAAGCUGCUGCUGCUUCUCCCUUCUAUCUCAAGUCAGACUUGCUCAUUUGGCUAGUUGGAACAAGUUGGAGAAAUCCCACAGGUGUCGCCCAUCGAGUUCUUCUGCUAUGCCCGUCAUCACACCCUGUGAGGCCUACACAGCUCAGCUCAGAUUUGGGUUGAUUACAGUAGCCAAUGAUGAGGCAGAGACUGACUCUUCGUGUUUUUUUUUUCC